rnacentral:rRNA from 1 species
UACGUAGGGUGCGAGCGUUGUCCGGAAUUAUUGGGCGUAAAGAGCUCGUAGGCGGUUUGUUGCGUCUGCCGUGAAAACUCAGGGCUUAACUCUGAGCCUGCGGUCGAUACGGGCAGACUUGAGUUCGGUAGGGGAGACUGGAAUUCCUGGUGUAGCGGUGAAAUGCGCAGAUAUCAGGAGGAACACCGGUGGCGAAGGCGGGUCUCUGGGCCGAUACUGACGCUGAGGAGCGAAAGCGUGGGGAGCGAACAGG